AUCCCAUGGUGCGGGCACUUCCUUAUCAGGUCUUUAAAUCUCUCCCAUGCCUCAUAUAAAGAUUCAUUAUCUAGCUGGUAGAAAUUUUUAUCUCCCCCCUCAGCUU